GGGACGGUGGUGCAACGGCAGCACAAACGUGACCGCGAGGUAAUGCCUCAGCGCCACUUGCCCAGGCGUGGGCCGCUGUCUGAGGCUGAUGUUCAGUGCGGGUUCGAAUCCCGCCCGUCCCC
rnacentral:tRNA from 1 species